rnacentral:lncRNA from 1 species
GGUAGAAGUCCUUCACAAACCUGAUGACCCCUAGUGCCGCCUCCAAAUCUACACAGUAGAAGGAGAAAACCAACCAUGGAAGGGUCUCCUCUGGCUUCUUGUGGCACUGUGGCACACAAGACUAUAUGUACAUACACAACAAGAAUACAAGUUUAAAUAUGAAAGAAACGAAAUGGCUGAUGGCUCAGUGGUUAAGAGCACUGUUUUGCAGAGGACCUGGGCUUGGGUCCCAGCACCCACAUGGUGGCUCACAAUCAUCUCUAAUUCCAGUUCCAGGGGAUCUGACGUCUGACCUCAGGCAUGAGGCAUGCACAUGGUACACAGGCAUACAUGCAGGCAAGACACUUGCACAUAGAUCUUAACAUCUUAAUAUAUAAUAUAUAGAGAGAGAAAGAGUGAGCAAGAGAGCUAUUGGGUUUUGUCUUCUGAUUUUUUUUUUUUUUUCUGAGAAAAGGUCUUACUUCGUUGCUCUGGCUGAUUUGAAACUCACUAUAUAGACGAGACUCAUAGAAAUCUGCCAUUGUCUGCCUUCUGACAGCUGAGAUUAAAAGCAUGUGCCACCAAACCUAA